UUCUUUCAUCUGUUUUCUUCUCCUCUCUGUCUCUCUCUCUCCCCCUGAUCACUUCUCUAUAUCUUGAACACUGUACGAAAGGGGAGAGCAAGAACCCUCGUGUCCUCUCAUUUCUCUUCUUGCACCAUCCUCUUCUUCUCCGAAAUCUCCUGGAGAGACUGAAACCAACAAAACCCUCUCUCUCUCUCAUUCAUAUCAUAUACAGAAACAGAACUGUGUUAGAUUUGUGAAGAUCUUAAGUCACUUUCCUGUCUCUGACUCUCAUGAUGACAAUGACCUCUCGCCCUCUUUUCGCAUAAUAACACCCUUCCCUAGUUUUGGUCCUUACUUGCAUCAUUUAUUAUCUUCUCUUUCAUUUAGCUGUUUCCCUGCAUAUUUCAUUGUUUCUUCCAUCUUUUUGUUGUUUUCGUUUGCUCUCUCCCUCUCCCUCUCCCUCUCCCUCUCCCCUCAAGUAGCUAUGCGUAAUGGGUUUGUGCUUAUGGACAUGAAUAUCAAAAACAAAAAUCUCUCUCUAUAAGAAGUUGCUGGAAAAGAUCAUAUCAGGCAUGCAAAGGAGGAAAGUAACUGGCGAGCCAAUGUGCCCGUGGCCGUGGGAGUUUACAAUGCUUUUGAAGACUAAGAGCGAGAAGGAAAAAUUGCACGAAGGAGCUCCUCUUUGAUGUUUGCUUUGCAAAGUUGCUGCUAAAACACUGCUUUUAAGCAAUAAAACUUGCCGAAGGAAAGAGUAAACGGAUUAAUCUGUAUUCUUCGUGAAUUAGCCUGAAGUGAUUACCUUCCGUGAUUACUGAGUAUGAGAACUGAGAAGUCUCAGAUGUAGUUUACUGUCAUUUCAUGUGGUUAUAGUUUUAGAGGAGCUUUUCUGCUUGGGAAGGUAUGGUAUUUCGGGUUUUUAUCUUUUAUUGCGGAGCAAAGAAACUGGGAAGGAUUAAUAAUCCAAAAUGGAGCUUUCCAACCUCCUGUGUUGUCAUUUACAAAGAGGAUCGAUAUGAGGAUCGAUAUUGUAACCGCACUGCAGCUCGGAGCUAAGCUAACUUAAUGCACUGCCGGUUCCUUUUC